UGUGUAGGCGGCCUGUUAAGUUCCGUGUGAAAUCUCCCGGCUCAACUGGGAGGGUGCGCGGAAAACUGGCGGGCUAGAGUACGGGAUGGGAGAGUAGAAUUCCUGGUGUAGCGGUGAAAUGCGUAGAUAUCAGGAGGAAUACCGGUGGUGUAGACGGCUCUCUGGACCGUAACUGACGCUGAGACACGAAAGCGUGGGUAGCAAACAGGAUUAGAUACCCUGGUAGUCCACGCCCUAAACGAUGCAUAUUUGGUGUAGGUCAUUCAGUUGAUCUGUGCCGGAGCUAACGCGUUAAAUAUGCCGCCUGGGGAGUACAGUCGCAAGGCUGAA
rnacentral:rRNA from 1 species